UAUGUGUGUCCAUGUUACAUGU
rnacentral:miRNA from 1 species